UCUCUAAUACUAUGCAUGUGCAGAACUGUUCUGUGUACCAGUUGAAGUUGUAAGCAUGUGAAUGCAAAACAAUUAUUAUUAUUUUUUUAUUAUUAUUGUUAUCUAUACAAAAUAUAAUGGACCGGUUCAUAAUUCCUUAUAACUUUUAGGUCUAGUUUCACAGACAGGGCUUGGAUUAAGCCAGGAUUAGGCUGUAGUUAAAUUUAGAACAUUGAAGUAGCUUUUGUAAACAUGCAUUUAGAAAGAAAAAAAAACACAUUAAUGAUGUGCAUCUUGAGACAAAACCAUGGCACUGACACCUUUUUUUUAUUUUUUUGUAAUACCCAAUAGUUGCCAAAUGCUGUCCUGUCGAAAAUUCUUCUUUACGUGAUCCUGGAGGAGGGUGAUGCUACAUUACUAAGUCCGUCUUUGGUUUGUUCCAAAUUCAGAAGUCUGCUGUACUGUAUACAGACUCCUUUCGAAAGAGGGCACAAUCCAGCUGGCUUGACUGAGUAUCUUCUUUUACAGAUUUGAUUAGAGGUUUAAAAAGGUGGAACAAAAUGGAGAACAAGUCUAAGCCAUGUCAGGAAUUCAACAAAAUGUACACCCUGCAGACACUGAGACGAGGUUUACAACAACUGCUUACCAGGUCACUGCAGUCACCCAGAUCGAGUACGUAUCCAGACCAGAUGGUGGAUCGCACCUAGAAAGGACCUCUACAGCCCUGAAAGACAGCGGAGACCAGGACAACUAGAGCCCAGAUACAGAUCCUCUGUAAAGACCUUGUUUUUUCUCCAUUUUGUCACCGGUGGAGUUUUGGUUCCUUGUCGCCUCUGGCUUGCUUCGUUGUGGUCACUUCAUUUACAGCGAUCUCAUUGACAUGAUUGCAAACGAUUCCACAGAUACUAUUUAAACUGAACCGAGCUGAAGGAUGACAUCACUGAGUUCAAUGAUAAACUACCUUUUUAAACUGACUACAAACUGAGUUUACUAAUGUCCUUCUGCAUUAUUGACUGACACACUAUUUUCCUGUUUAAUACUGUAAAGUUGCUUUGCUUUGAUCUGUAUUAUUAAAAGCACUAUAUAAAUAAACGAUGCUUGACUUGA